AGACUUGGAACACUCAGGAAUACAGACAGACGUAGGAAUUGCUUAAAAACAAGAAGUUCUCCCACCCUUGUUGGAGCGAAUGCGCGAGUCUGACAGUGAACCUUUUGGGAAAGAGCCAGCAUUGUAACCGUGCUCGGUGACUUCUCUGGCUUUAUAGGGAACAGAUGUGAGGAUAGCAAGGGGCGCACACGUGAAAUGCCUGGCAGGUACCCCUUUGUGGCUCUACUUACUUCUUGCCAUUCCUCUGCCCUCCAAGUGUAGAGGGGACACCGUGGGCCUUGGCAGUCGCGUUCCGACUCCGGUCUGGUGUAUGGGUUGCACUCGGUCUCUCUGGCUAUUUUGUGUGUUCCGAUCUGACAGCCCACAUGCCUCUGCUGUACGCCUCGGCCACAGGACACAGAGCACUAAGAAGACAGAGAACCGCCAGUUUGGAUAAUAUCUCAAGGCUUAAUAGGGAAGGAAGGUGGCAUUGAAAAAAAAAAUGUCCACAGCAUUACAGCAGCAAUCCUGUGUGGCAUUUUUGGCUCACUCAAGAGUGUGGGUAAAUCCUGAGAAUUGGAGCCAAAAAUAAAGCUCAUGAACCUGAAAUUACCAUGAAAUUCUGAUUUUAAGAAGUCCUACUAUGAAAUAGUGAUAUAUUUCUUCAACAAAAUGCCUGUGAUUCACUGACUGGGAUAAAGGUGCAUUUCCAAAAUACAACUAUGUUCAAUUUCUUAAUUAAAUGAUUUAAGAAUAAAACUCUUGAACCAUUUUCCAGAGGAUAAGCUCUCGUUUUCCCAGUCCACUGGGAAGAGGUGAAAAAGGCACGUUAGAAACUGAAAGGUAAGCUAGCAGGAAUAUGGAAAGAGAAAUUCUGCUGUGAGAAAUUCAUAGAACUACCUGGCAGAAAAGGAAGGGUGAUAUUGCCUCCCAGGGAACAUUUGGCAACGUCUGAAGAUAUUUUUCACUGUCACAACCGAGGGGAUUCACAGUCUGGUGAGACAAGUUUGAGAUCUCAUAUUUUCAGCUCAUCCUUGAAAACCUUUCUUCGAUUUGACUGACCUUGAUGGCUCCCUGGAAUCUCACCUACAUUUUAUGGGAAAUUCAACUCUCCAGAGAGAAGAGCUUUCAGAUAGCUGCGGGACUUGCAACUGUGACUUUCAGCUUUCGCUUUUGAAUGAGGCUCCAAAUGUCUCAAUGGUGGCACUAUUUCCAGAUUUGGGAGCCCUGCAAAGCUAAUCUGCUCAACCUUCACCUACUGGGUUCAAUGAAUAUGAAAAGCUGCCUUCCUGAAACUUUUCCUUCAAAGAGGGAAUGAUCUCCUGGAAUUCAAGCUUCUACAAGGUGGCUACCUGGUGUUUUCCACUUUUGCCGUCUCCUAAAAAGCAUCAUUCAAGCCUUGCCCUUUCAACCCACUGAACACAUAAACAUGCUUUCUCCUUAACUGAACUUAUGGCCACGAUGAACUUGAACUCUGAGAUUCACAGAGGAGAGUUUGUUUUAACAGCUGCUUUUACAAUGAAGCCCUGGAGUUACUACUCUCAAGACCCCUGGUUCUGAUAGGCCAUCUUUUCACUGUCCUCUGCAUUUUCUAAUGCCCAGCUGUCAAGGAACACCCACUGAAGUUUUCCAAAACAAAGGCACGAAACACAAGAAAGGCAAGAGAAUGCUAAUCACCAGAUGCAUGGGCAUCCUAUGGGGGA
ensembl:lncRNA ADAMTS9-AS1 ADAMTS9 antisense RNA 1